GAAAUGCGAUAAGUAAUGUGAAUUGCAGAAUUCAGUGAAUCAUCGAAUCUUCGAACGCACCUUGCGCUCCUUGGUAUUCCUUGGAGCAUGCCUGUUUGAGUAUCAUGAAAUCUUCAAAGUAAAUCUUUUGUUAACUCAAUUGGUUUCUACUUUGGUAUUGGAGGUCUUUGCAGCUUCACACCUGCUCCUCUUUGUUCAUUAGCUGGAUCUCAGUGUUAUGCUUGGUUCCACUCGGCGUGAUAAGUUAUCUAUCACUGAGGACACUGUAAAAGGUGGCCAAGGUAAAUGCAGAUGAACCGCUUCUAAUAGUCCAUUGACUUGGACAAUACUUUUAUGAUCUGAUCUCAAAUCAGGUAGGACUACCCGCUGAACUUAAGC
rnacentral:misc_RNA from 1 species